rnacentral:rRNA from 1 species
UACAGAGGGUGCGAGCGUUAAUCGGAAUUACUGGGCGUAAAGCGCGCGUAGGCGGCUUUGCAAGUCGGGUGUGAAAUCCCCAGGCUUAACCUGGGAACUGCAUUCGAGACUGCAUUGCUAGAGUAUGGGAGAGGGAAGUGGAAUUUCAGGUGUAGCGGUGAAAUGCGUAGAUAUCUGAAGGAACAUCAGUGGCGAAAGCGACUUCCUGGCCUGUUCUUGACGCUGAGGCGCGAAAGCUAGGGUAGCAAACGGG